rnacentral:lncRNA from 1 species
AUAGAAGGAAACAAUGAUUGAAAUUCUUGGAAAUUUCGAAUGUUGCUGGAAACACAAAGUGAAUAUGACAAAAUUUAAUAAUUAUUAUUAAUUCUGCCAUAUUAGGGGGUAAUUGUUAACACAUAAAAAUGCAGCCCAAAUCGAACAGCCCAAGGAGUGAAGCCCAAUUGGAGGAUCCUCAAAUCAGAUAGCCCAAAUAACGAAGCCCAAUCAAACAAAUCAAGAUGAAGGCCCGAAUAAGGAGGCCCAAGAACGCGGUAACGCCAUCGCCCAAGUUUGCAA